GACGAACGCUGGCGGCGUGCCUAAUACAUGCAAGUUGAGCGCUGAAGGUUGGUACUUGUACCAACUGGAUGAGCAGCGAACGGGUGAGUAACGCGUGGGGAAUCUGCCUUUGAGCGGGGGACAACAUUUGGAAACGAAUGCUAAUACCGCAUAAAAACUUUAAACACAAGUUUUAAGUUUGAAAGAUGCAAUUGCAUCACUCAAAGAUGAUCCCGCGUUGUAUUAGCUAGUUGGUGAGGUAAAGGCUCACCAAGGCGAUGAUACAUAGCCGACCUGAGAGGGUGAUCGGCCACAUUGGGACUGAGACACGGCCCAAACUCCUACGGGAGGCAGCAGUAGGGAAUCUUCGGCAAUAGACGAAAGUCUGACCGAGCAACGCCGCGUGAGUGAAGAAGGUUUUCGGAUCAUAAAACUCUGUUGGUAGAGAAGAACGUUGGUGAGAGUGGAAAGCUCAUCAAGUGACGGUAACUACCCAGAAAGGGACGGCUAACUACGUG
rnacentral:rRNA from 1 species